UACGGAGGAUGCGAGCGUUAUCCGGAUUUAUUGGGUUUAAAGGGUGCGCAGGCGGAUUUUUAAGUCAGCGGUCAAAUCGUGGGGCUCAACCCCAUCCAGCCGUUGAAACUGGGGAUCUAGAGUGUGCGAGAGGUAUGCGGAAUGCGUGGUGUAGCGGUGAAAUGCAUAGAUAUCACGCAGAACCCCCGAUUGCGAAGGCAGCAUACCGGUGCACAACUGACGCUCAGGCACGAAAGCGUGGGUAUCGAACAGG
rnacentral:rRNA from 1 species